GACGAACGCUGGCGGCGUGCUUAACACAUGCAAGUCGAACGGAAAGGCCCUGCUUUUGUGGGGUGCUCGAGUGGCGAACGGGUGAGUAACACGUGAGUAACCUGCCCUUGACUUUGGGAUAACUUCAGGAAACUGGGGCUAAUACCGGAUAGGAGCUCCUGCUGCAUGGUGGGGGUUGGAAAGUUUCGGCGGUUGGGGAUGGACUCGCGGCUUAUCAGCUUGUUGGUGGGGUAGUGGCUUACCAAGGCUUUGACGGGUAGCCGGCCUGAGAGGGUGACCGGCGACAUUGGGACUGCGGUACGGAGCAGACUCCUACGGGAGGCAGCAGUCGGAAAUAUUGCACAGUGGGCGGACGCCUGAUGCAGAAACGCCGCGUGCGGGAUGACGGCCUUCGGGUUGUAAACCGCUUUCGCCUGUGACGAAGCGUGAGUGACGGUAAUGGGUAAAGAAGCACCGGCUAACUACGUG
rnacentral:rRNA from 1 species